rnacentral:misc_RNA from 1 species
CAGAAGAAGAGCACGCAAGGGAGAGGAAGAGUGGCGAAGGACUUUGAAAAGCGGGAGCCAGGACGCUCUGGGCCGUCGUCAUAACUUUCCUGUUGCUCGAGUAGACUACCCGCAGAACAAUUUUGAGUUUCACUCGUUCUGUUUCUCUUCAUGUGGAGCGUUAUUCGACGGCGUCAGGGCCUCGAGCCCAACGAAGCCCCCUUGCGCCAUGAUGCUCCAUGCAGCGCGCAUCAACGCUGUAUCCUGCUGCAUGCGGUGCGCCCUGUUAUCCCGUACACAAGCCCCACUGCCUUUAGCAAAGCCUACGGGGAUUUUCUGUACGCCAAGAUCCGCCGCUGGCUGCUUGACGAGCGCGCCGAUGUGCGCCUCCACGCGGCAGAUCACCUCGUGGAGCUCUACAAAGAGAAGCGUGAGCACUGUGUGCAGAGCCUUGCAUACGACAUGCUGCCCAUCCUUCUCUCGACCUUGGAGAAGGAUGAGAGCGCCGCCUUGCGGGAGCGGGCUGGAAUGGCGCUAGAGCUGCUCGUGCGCGAGGCCCAGACGCAGCGACUGCUACUCGGAGGGGGUUCCAGCGAGGAUGCGCCCUUUUCCACAUUGGCUGGAAGGCAGACGGCGCCGACGCCGCACCUUGCAGCAAUUCUCGCUUCUCUGCGAGACGAGAGUGAUGAAGUGGUGGUUGCAGCCCUGCGGGUUGUCUUGGCGUGCCAUAUGGCGCACAACGCGUUUUCUGUGACUGCUGCAUUGGUCCAGGGGGGUCUGAUUCCCGUGUUGAUCGGCCUCAUUCAGUCGACAAACACAUUGACGCAGAUGGUUGCCUGCUCUGCAACGCGACAGCUCUUUCAGGUCAAGGAGGCGCACGUGGAGCUCCUCAAGCUCGGCAUCGUUGCAACACUCACUACGACAAUCAUCAAGGCAGAGGCUGUCGCCCUUGUCGCAGAGGCUGCUGAGGUUGCCUCUUUGAUUGCCGAGUAUGCGCAGGGAAGACGCGACGCUGUGGCCUGUGGUACACUUGCCAGUCUUCUCCCGCAUCUGCACAACGCUAACUUGACUCUGCGAGUCGCCGUAUACAGCGCGGCUGCCCAAAUCACCGUGCUGGAGGCGGCCAAGAUACAGGCGACGGAGGUGGGCUACCCGGAGCAACUUGUUGGCGAGCUUGCCAGAGAGGAUGAGCGCGACGUCCUCAUGCACAUGCUGCGACUCAUCUACAACUUGGCGGAGUGGCCGACCGCGCGCGUGACGCUGCGGGAGUGUCUGCCACGGAUUGCGGAGCUGCUGCAAAUCGCCGACGGCGACGAGGGCGCCAUGUUUGCCCUGUCACAGGCCGAUAGAAUCCUCACGAAGAAAGUGUUUCCAGCGUGAGAGGGGAGAAGAGGACAGAAGCCCUCGCUCGGCAGAAGACUUGCACAUGCCUUAUUACUGUCACAGGCGCCGUCGACAAGACAGCUCUGCCACGCUAUAGGAGUGUCUUUGGACGCUUACGCCUCUCUUGUUGUUUUGCCUUCUUCUUGCGUGUGCCUCAGACACUGAGGAGCGCGAUGAUGUACAUUAAAGCCGGCUUGCGCUCACCCCUCUUUCUUACGCCGGAAGGGAGGAAGGGGAGGGGCACACGGUGGGGAAUCGGGCACCCAGCUAAUCGCCACCGAACAUGCAGAAAAGAGCGCAUCGCCUGUUGUGAGGGUCUUAGCGGACGCCACG